UACGGAGGGUGCAAACGUUGCUCGGAAUCAUUGGGCGUAAAGCGCACGUAGGCGGUCCGCUAUGUCGGGUGUGAAAGCCCUCGGCUUAACCGAGGAAGUGCAUUCGAAACUACGCAGCUAGAGUCCUGGAGAGGAAGGUGGAAUGCUUGGUGUAGAGGUGAAAUUCGUAGAUAUCAAGCGGAACACCGGUGGCGAAGGCGGCAUCCUGGACCGACAUUGACGCUGAGGAGCGAAAGCUAGGGGAGCAAACGGG
rnacentral:rRNA from 1 species